rnacentral:rRNA from 1 species
AGGAAUCUGCCUAUUAGUGGGGGACAACAUCUCGAAAGGGAUGCUAAUACCGCAUACGUCCUACGGGAGAAAGCAGGGGACCUUCGGGCCUUGCGCUAAUAGAUGAGCCUAAGUCGGAUUAGCUAGUUGGUGGGGUAAAGGCCUACCAAGGCGACGAUCUGUAGCGGGUCUGAGAGGAUGAUCCGCCACACUGGGACUGAGACACGGCCCAGACUCCUACGGGAGGCAGCAGUGGGGAAUAUUGGACAAUGGGGGGAACCCUGAUCCAGCCAUGCCGCGUGUGUGAAGAAGGCCUUUUGGUUGUGAAGCACUUUAAGCGAGGAGGAGGCUACCGAGAUUAAUACUCUUGGAUAGUGGACGUUACUCGCAGAAUAAGCACCGGCUAACUCUGUGCCAGCAGCCGCGGUAAUACAGAGGGUGCAAGCGUUAAUCGGAUUUACUGGGCGUAAAGCGCGCGUAGGUGGCCAAUUAAGUCAAAUGUGAAAUCCCCGAGCUUAACUUGGGAAUUGCAUUCGAUACUGGUUGGCUAGAGUAUGGGAGAGGAUGGUAGAAUUCCAGGU